CGUCAUUUCCUCACCUUCCGUGGGGGUAUAAAUUCCACCAAGAAUCAUCAACCUAGACGACAGCUUUGUGGCUUGCCGCCCUGAAACUCCCUACCUGCGACACACAGAACAUCCCUUCUGGUCCGGAGAAAACUCAGAAGCCGGUCUCCAUUUCCAAAUCUAUCUGGCUUUGGAUAGAACUGAUGUACUACUUAAUGGUUCACCCAAAAAUGCCCAGAAAGAAUUUAUUCGAACGCGUCCCUUUCGAUUUAAUGCCAUCUGCAUCUCCGGGAGCCACUUAGGAAUACUCGCGGAAACCACCAGCCCCUCUGUCCACAUUUUUCAAUUAUCCAGCUGAGGCCUGGGAACGUUUGUUGAGGUUGGGUGGUUUCUCAAGGGUUAAGGCCAGAAAUGUUUGAAGAAAAUCAGCUUAAAUAUGUUGUACAACAAACAUGUUAUUGCGGGUCCUGGAGUUAGGCUAUGAUAAUGAAUUUCAGACUCAAAUAUUUUCUUUGAUUGUCACAAAAGUAUGCGAGGAGCCCAGGGUUUGCUUUCAGAGUUCGGCGUGGAGUUGGUGGCAUUUCGUUACCAGAGGCCAAUUGUAAGAAAAUUAUUUUCACAGCCAGAAGUGCUGAUAGGGCAAAGGGAGGGGGAACCCGCAUACCCUGUGUUGUGGAUGGUUAUUUAAAAGAAGGAUGAAUAAUAGCCACUGGUAUUUAAGUACUUCUGAAAGAAUGGCUUGGUGACAGAUACAAGUCACCGUAAAUCCAGCCAUCUGAGCUUAAUGACACUUGCUUCUGAGACCCUCCACUGCCCUUCCCAAGUAGACAGGGAUAUCUUCUCAUUGGUCUGAAGAGGAGCUCUCCGUUAGGUCAUUAAACAAGUCAAUAAUGUUGUGCAGUCAAACUAGAAGAAAAUACGCCGUUCGUCCUCCUCUCCCAGUGUUUACUGACCGUCAGGAUUCAUCACUGAGAGCCUGAGAGUUUGCUAUAAUUUUUUAAUUGGGUCCAGCUGCCAUGCUUUGCUUGGAUACCAGGCAGGACAAGAGCAAGACGAACCUAAGAGGAAGAUGGGCAUUUUGCCUGAUAAAGGAUUACGGUGGAAGUGAAAGGCUGACCUACAGUCAGGAAAUGUUAAUCAUUUUUACACCAAAGUGAGUGUAACGUUUCUAUAGGGAAAUUACUUCAAUUUGGUCAGUGCGGGGGGAGCAGUUUGUAUAAUCGGAUUGCAAAUAAGGUUUGAUCAGUUUCCAGCUUAAUCUACUCUCUGAGCACCAUUUACGCCACUAAAUCAAACCCAGAGAAGCUGCCUGCACGGUUUUACAGUCAUUACACCCAAGGGGCAGGGACUCGGUAAUAAACAGCAAAUAAAUCGCAGCACUGACUUGCCCGCUACAGGGCAUUUCUAAUUAUCCUCUAGUUUAGUUAGAAAUUGCUGUGCUCCCGUCAAGGCCUUCUUUAACCGCCGCUAAGAAGAGUGAUACUUCUAGGCAGAAUUAAUUGCGAAUAUGGAGAAAUGGAGAUUGUGCUUCUCUUUCCUUCCUCCCCCCACUUUGCCCCUCCCACCACUCCACCACCUUAUUGGAGGCAUUUAAAAAGCCCCGAGCAAGGUAUGCACGAGGCGUUCGUCUCUCUCCCUCCUCUCGAGAGGGAACCACAAAUCCAGCGUCUCUAGACUACAGCGUGCUGCACUUUGGAUGCAAAGAGCCGCCAGGGUGGAUGGUGCUAAUAACAGUGACUUACAAAGCAUCUCAAGGGGACCGAGGAAGUGACAGAGGCUCAUUCCAUGCUUGGACUUUGCAGAGGGUAGAGGGACCCACCCAUCUAUGGAACCAGACCAUACAGACCGAGUUGGAUAAAGCAGGCUGCAGGUGCCUUUGGUCUCCGCUGCUGAAUUACCAGAAUAUCACAGAGGCCCACUCUGAAAAGUGUAGUCCCAGGUAUAUCUUGAAGAUGACUGAAGGGACUGCUUGGGAAAUACCAUCAGAAGACAGGGUACUCAAAUCCUCCAAGCUGUCUGGAAUGAAAACCUGACUGAAGUCAUCCUCUGUGCAGGUGACCAGAAGGCAUGCUAUGGCCUAAGACAAUUUCUCUCUCAAGUUCAAGGGCAGUGACAUCAAGCCAUGGUGUAAAGAUACACUAUUUGCCAUAUGAUGACGAGGGGUCCGGAUCUCCUCUUCAUCGGCACAGAAAGCACUACCGCCUGAAUCAACCCAAGGAUCAUUCAGAAGAAAAUCACCUUUGUGUGAAAGCACGGAGAUUGGGCUUUGUCACUGAUCAUUGUGUCCUGUCCAAUGGUUAAUGAAGAUCUGCAGUGGGCAAAGUGGUGGUCGCAGAGACGGCAUUUCCCUCCAAUAGAAAGCCUAUUCUUGAAGAACAAUAAAAGCGGGGAGAAGCGUUAGUCUGCUUAUGGAUGGGAAUAAAUCAAAAUGAAUAAGGCGCUCGAUGGAAGGAGUCUGAAAGCAGAGUAAAUUCUGAAAAGUACUGUUUUUGUUUUGCGAGGAAAUUUCCUUUGUGCGUGU
rnacentral:sRNA from 1 species